ACGGGUGAGUAACACGUAGGGACCUGUCUUUCAGAGGGGGACAACCAAGGGAAACUUUGGCUAAUACCGCGUAAUCUCGCAAGAGGAAAGCUGCUCGCAAGGGUGGCGCUGAAAGAGGGGCCUGCGUCCGAUUAGCUAGUUGGUAGGGUAAAGGCCUACCAAGGCAAUGAUCGGUAACUGGUCUGAGAGGACGACCAGUCACACUGGGACUGAGACACGGCCCAGACUCCUACGGGAGGCAGCAGUGGGGAAUAUUGGACAAUGGGGGCAACCCUGAUCCAGCGAUGCCGCGUGGGUGAAGAAGGCCUUCGGGUUGUAAAGCCCUUUAGGUCGGGAAGAAGUGUAGUGGAGGAAAUGCCAUUACAUUGACGGUACCGACAGAAUAAGCACCGGCAAACUCUGUGCCAGCAGCCGCGGUAAUACAGAGGGUGCAAGCGUUAAUCGGAGUUACUGGGCGUAAAGGGCGCGUAGGCGGUUUGAUGAGUGUGAUGUGAAAGCCCUGGGCUUAACCUAGGAAGCGCAUCGCAAACGAUUGAACUGGAGUAUAUGAGAGGGUGGCGGAAUUUCCGGUGUAGC
rnacentral:rRNA from 1 species